rnacentral:lncRNA from 1 species
AAUCAAGCCUCUUAGACCUGGAUCCGGGACUCCUGGCCUCCAGAAGUAUGAGACGUCGACUCAGGGAAAAUUCACAACACUUCAAAUAGCAGAUAUUUACUUGGGCAAUUAACAUUGCAACUCAGGAGACACAGAUUCAGGCAGAAACCCAAAAUGGGUUCUGAGGAAAACAAGGAGGUAAGGGUUUAUAAAGGCUGAAAGACAUAAAUUACACAGGUGGUUUUGCCAAAUUUGUGAUUUGUGCUGGCAACAGCUGUUACCUCUUGGCUAUUUGUGAUCUGUUGCUAAGGCCAUCUCUAAGGCAGGAAAUUUUUAUCUAUGGGAGUAAGCACAUUUCUGUAAAGGUCAAUAGGACAACAGUGAAGCAGAGUUCAAAAGUUAACAUUCCCUCUGGUAGAGACUGGUAUGCCUGCAUAAGCGCCAUUUCCUUAAGGGCCUCCCAGCUCCAUUUUAGAAGCCUUGACAUAUGUUACUCCAUUUUGUUGACACUGUCCACAUUUUUCCCUUCUGAUCAAGAUGUUUCAGCAGAAAGCAUCAUGGAUCAAUCGUUUGGUAUACUGACAUUUCCCUCAUUGCCAGGAAGGCUCAUUCCUGUGAAGGCAUGUCCCUUGUUGGGGGAAGCCAUGUGCUCAACCAUCAGUAGGACUAACAUAGUCAGGGGCUCUGGCAGCAAUCUGAGCAAUAAGGAGCUGGUCGGGAAAUGAGUCUUAGGCACAGUUUCUGUCUGGAAAACUAUCAAGUCUUUUGUUUGGAGUUUAAAUAUUGGUCCAUCACCUCAAGUCAUUGAACAAUCAUUAUUCAGGAGGUAAAGACAGACAUACAGUAUCAAGAAAUGCAAAUCUUUAGUAGCUUGAAGGUGACAAAUACUGCAGAAGACAGAACAAUAAUCACUAGUAUAACAUGGAGCAGGUCUGAGGGAGUAGCAGCAUAAGAAGCUUAAACACAAGUACACAUAACAAAAUUCUAAUAAUCAUAAGCAGUAUCUGAAGUCCUCAUCUCAUCCAAGCACAUACACCUGAAGAAAGCCAGUUGAAAACAUGAAUAGGGAACCAGAGGAUGUCAUUAAAAGACACUGGACUAGAUACACCCUGUGCUAUUUUCAUAAUUUUUCCAACUUCUAGCUCAACUUCUCCAGAAGAGUUGACCCAGGUACAGCAGGAUGUGUUGGUGAUGACACAGAUGCCACCCUGUUCUGCAAGGAGAUAGUCAAGUGUCACAUGAUUAUCUAAUACAGCCCUCCCUAAGAAAUCCAGGGAUUGUUGUUAUUGAACCAAAGUUGAUGCAGUAGGAUUUGCCAGUGUAGCUAAGGUUAAGGAUACAUUUUUUUUUACCAACAGUCAUCAUGGACAACAUCAAUGCAAGGACAAAGCCUUUGGCAGUGGGCAUCAGUGGAGAGUAGAUGGGGUGUAAAAAGGGGUCAAGUUUCGCGUAGACCUAUGAGAUGGUGGUUGGGUUUCUCCUUUAACAAGAACUUGAAAUGGAAUCCUAUGAAGGCAUUGUCCUGCCAUAUGCCGGCUGUCUAGACAUCCAUAAGCCCACAGCUCCCUGUAGGUGGAAGGUGUACUCAGAAGCAGGCACAUAGUAUGCAGUACCUUCUACUUCUGUAGCAGUGUCAGUGGUCAGGGGCACUUGGUAAGGUCCUUUCCAGUGGGGCUCAAGGGCUGUCCUCCUCUGAUGAUGCUUCCAGAAUACCCAGUCACCAGGCUCGAGACUGUGACCAACAGGAUCCUUUAAAGUGGGAUCCAGGAAAGUAUCUUUAACCUGUUGAUGAUGGGCUGGGGAUAAGACAGUAGAAACUCACAGUAGCUGGUCACACUCACAUAAGACAACAGAGGAUCAGCAGAAGGUUGCGGACCAACAAACUCUGAUCUGCUGGUGACUGUCUCAUGUGGAGUUAGUUCAUGUUUUCCAAAGAGGGCACUGAAAACAGACAGCAAGGCUGAAGGCAAUACCUUAGGCCAGGGGAGUCCAGUCCACCGUAUGUAACAAACCUCAGAGACAAUUAACAGGACUAGAAUCUACUAUCUACAAGGUGCAAACAGAAUUUUUCUCUCUAUAAUUACCUUCAUUUUCUUUCCUUUGCCAAAGCUAAUCACAGUAAACUAAUUUGUUUAUAUUAAAAACUUAACCUGAUUAUUUAUGCAAGUGAAAAUAAGAAUACUCACUGAGUUUCUGAAUUCUGGAGGGAUCAGGUAGGGAGAAAAGGUAAAUGUUUCACCUUUGUUCACAUAGGUAUGUGUUACCAAAUAGACAUUCAAUGAAUAUCUGUUAUUCAGUUUAACUUAGUAUAAACUUUUCUCUUAUUUACAUUUCUUUAAAUACUUGUUUUAACAAUUAUGUUUGGAUUAGACAGUAAAUAGUUAACCAUCAUCCCAAGUCAUUCCCUCUGCAGACAAAUUCUGCAACAGAAACAGCAGGAACCAACCUGGCCAGUGGACCCAGGUAGAAAAAGUUGUAUGUUUGCUUUACAUUCACUAGUGAUGACUUGGAAGACAUGUCUCUUUCUAUUAAACCAACAAACUUGAACUAUUUUUUACCACAGAUUAUCUCAGAUCACUUGAACUUGAAAAACACUUGGGUUAGUUUCUAUAUUUCUGAUAGUUUUAGGAAUACUUAACUUACAUAAAUGUUUAACUUUGGCAAUACCAUUUGGAGGUAGAAAAAUAUAAUAUAUAUAUAGAGAGAGAGAGAGACGUACAUACAAAGAGAUACAGAUACACACAACAGAGAUCUUUAAAAAUUUUAGCUAUGUCUCAGAUCCAAAACUGAAAAGAAUAGUUGGAUCCAAAUUGUGUUUCUGGCAGAUGGACUAAAUUAAGGUUACCUGCUCAGAUGGCCAAAAAUUUUUAGUAAGGAUUUGUGUUUUCUUUGUAUUCUGUAAGGAUCCUUUUACGAGCUGUUUUGAAGUCCUUUUGUCUUUUAGAAGCUCCCGCAUACCAACUGAAGCAUGCACUCCAUCGUCUCAGGGAGGUUUGGAAUCCUCUCUUUUAAGGGUGACCCUUAAGGUGGAUGUAUCUGAAACAAAGCUUCCUCAGAAUGGUCAUUAUCAUUCCCAGUUAUUUCAAAAGUUCACCCAUUUCCACUUGUUUAGUUUUAGAUCUUUUAUUUUCUAACCGUGCAUGCAAAUAAACUAAUUUAGGUAUUUUAAAUAAGCCCCAUUAGGACCAAGAAAGUUUUAAAUCAUCCUUGGGUAAAAUGGGUCCAUUGAGGUAAAAAUUUACAAGAGGGACCAUAUUCUUUCAACAUAAAUCCAGCUGGGGUUCUCAAAGGAAGGUGACUAUUUACGGUUCUUCUAUAACAAUUGUUCCCCAUAAUUUAGAGAGGGCUAUUCUGAGAUGACCAAGGCAGGAGGGUCUAUGCCUUGGGUCAGGUAUGUGCUGCCUGUGAGGACCACUUCCCAGAGUGUCACCAAUGGGCCGUUGAUCUCUCUUUUAUGUGUCUCAGAGAUUCCUGAGCAGCAAGUGGUGUCAGGUUGCUCAAGGUCCUAGGAUGACCAAUCCUUUAUCUGUGCCUUCCGGAUGAGCUUGUGAAGUUCUUCUGACCCAAGAACAGGGUCUGUUCUUCACUGGGAGGCCCUGUGAGACCAGUGCACGUCACGGACAGAGUGCCAACACUUCUGCUGGAUUUCCAGUCACCU